UAGUUUCUUCGAAUCUGUUAAUGAAGAUAUGUUUUUCAGUAAACUGGAUUUUUAUGUAACCACCAUAACUUCUAGACCGGAAUUGGGUGUUGCAAAAUUACUUUUGAAAAAAAAUAAAUAUACAAACCAAAUAUAACAUAAACGUAUUACAAAAAAAAAGUCAAAAGAACACAACACCGCAAAACCCCCAGAAACCCACAACAAAUCCAAGUCCC
rnacentral:lncRNA from 1 species